GAUAUUAUUUCCGAGUCCUCCCCAUAGUGAUUAAAAAUUCCCGAAGUUAAAUACACUAUUUUUCACAAAACAAACACAUUUUCAUUUUCAAAGCAUACCAUUGCUCUCUAUGGUUUUAAAAUUCAAAGGACACUUUCACACACUACCAAAACACUUGANNNNNNNNNNNNNNNNNGUCUCGACAAAAUAAUCGAGUUUUUCUUGCGUCGCAAGUUUCAAGUUUUUCUUUCCAAAUACAAUCCUAUAAUCAUACUUUUACACACCUAAGAUCAUUCAUCAAAAACAUGAUCAUUUUUUUUCAACAUUGUGGACUUAGAAAAAUUUUGGAAAUCCUCCCUUUUUUUUUUCCUUUUAGGGGCUGCCCCCAAAAACCAAAAUCACACUUCCGCUCAAAAUUUUCCGCUUUCGAGAGCUUGGUAAUAUCCCAUAAUACCUCCGAGUCACUAAUCCAAGCACCCAAAAAUUUUCCGGGCAAAGCCUCUAAUUACGACAUUUUAAAUUUUUGGUUCUUUGACACACAUACAACACCAAAACCAUUUUUACCCAAAACUUUUUGCAUGGUAAUUCACCCUAGGCCACAAUUGUGCCUCCCCCAAAGCCCUAACCAAUUUUGAAACCUCUCCCACACUUUUUCAAAAUUUCACAUGACCAAAAGUUUUGAAAAUGUGAACCACACCCAAAAUUUCUCCAAUGCCAAUACCUAGCAAGCCUCUAUUAGUUCACAAGCCUAUGGAAAUGAUCAACAAAUUCAUUUUGAGGGUCAAAACAAGAAUUUCCAAAAAAAAUUUCAUAAAGUCCUCAAGAACACACACAAAAAUAUUUUUCCUUGUUUCACAAAAUCAAAGCCAUUUCCUAACAUCCAUUUCCCUACAAUGCUCAUAAACAACACCAAAAAUAAAAGCACAACACAAGUUUUCNNNNNNNNNNNNNNNNNNNNNNNUAAACUACUCCUAAACACUUCCCUAGAACCACAAACACCCAAAACUUAUUCUAGAAAAAGAUUACUCAAGAACAAAGUCAUGACAAUCUCUAAAAUAUUCUAGGAAUCAUGACUUUUAGCUAAACAAAAGCGUGGAGAAGGUGAGUUACCUUAAGAGGAGUGAUUUCCUUGCAAGUUCCUAGUUCCAAAGAGACAAAUCCUAGCUUGAAUGGAUGAGAAAUGAAAAUUUUG
rnacentral:lncRNA from 1 species